GGCCGGGAACUCAAAGGAGACUGCCAGUGAUAAACUGGAGGAAGGUGGGGAUGACGUCAAGUCAUCAUGGCCCUUACGACCAGGGCUACACACGUGCUACAAUGGCAUAUACAAAGAGAAGCGACCUCGCGAGAGCAAGCGGACCUCAUAAAGUAUGUCGUAGUCCGGAUUGGAGUCUGCAACUCGACUCCAUGAAGUCGGAAUCGCUAGUAAUCGUAGAUCAGAAUGCUACGGUGAAUACGUUCCCGGGCCUUGUACACACCGCCCGUCACACCAUGGGAGUGGGUUGCAAAAGAAGUAGGUAGCUUAACCUUCGGGAGGGCGCUUACCACUUUGUGAUUCAUGACUGGGGUGAAGUCGUAACAAGGUAACCGUAGGGGAACCUGCGGUUGGAUCACCUCCUUACCUUAAAG
rnacentral:rRNA from 1 species